rnacentral:rRNA from 1 species
UACGUAGGGUGCAAGCGUUAAUCGGAAUUACUGGGCGUAAAGCGUGCGCAGGCGGUUUUGUAAGUCUGACGUGAAAUCCCCGGGCUCAACCUGGGAAUUGCGUUGGAGACUGCAAGGCUGGAGUCUGGCAGAGGGGGGUAGAAUUCCACGUGUAGCAGUGAAAUGCGUAGAGAUGUGGAGGAACACCGAUGGCGAAGGCGGUUAGCUGGGCAGUUGCUGACACUGAGGCGCGACAGCGUGGGGAGCAAACAGG